rnacentral:tRNA from 1 species
GGGGGUGUAACUCAGUGGCCAGAGUUUUGGUCUUCGAAACCAGUAGUCGUAGGUUCAAAUCCUACCACCCUCU